rnacentral:tRNA from 1 species
GCGCCCGUAGCUCAGCGGGAUAGAGCGCUGCCCUCCGGAGGCAGAGGUCUCAGGUUCGAAUCCUGUCGGGCGCG